rnacentral:rRNA from 1 species
UACGUAGGGUGCGAGCGUUAAUCGGAAUUACUGGGCGUAAAGCGUGCGCAGGCGGCGCCGCAAGUCAGGCGUGAAAUCCCCGAGCUUAACUUGGGAAUGGCGCUUGAAACUACGGUGCUGGAGUGUGGCAGAGGGAGGUGGAAUUCCACGUGUAGCAGUGAAAUGCGUAGAGAUGUGGAGGAAUACCGAUGGCGAAGGCAGCCCCCUGGGACAUGACUGACGCUCAUGCACGAAAGCGUGGGGAGCAAACAGG